UGAGACUAGAAGGUCAUUUCGGUAAACUGUAGCCUAGAGUGAGCAAAGGAACCCCUACCCCAAAUUACACUCCCUGGGUCUCCUGGCUGCCAGCUCUGCUGUUCCUCUAUGAGAUCACUGAAGCCUGCCUCCAAGUGUCACAGGCCCCCAGCAGUGACCAUAUGAAGCUCAAUUCACUAUUCAUUGUGAGGCCCUGGGAAGCUGGGAAGGUACCUUAUCCCUCGGGGACAGGUAGGAAAGGCAGGAAUGACAGGCUCCAGGGGCUUUUAGGGACAUGCUGAAGCCUGUCUCCCUGUCUGUCUCCCUCCCUGUUGAGCACACACAGAAAAAUGGCCAUAGCCUGACCAGCUUGGGCCCCAGAAGCCAAGUAGACCAGCCUGGAGCCACAGGAAAGCCUCCAGUCUGUGGCUCAGCACCCAGUGCUGGGGCCUGGGGUCCCUUGUGGCCGGGUCUGUCUUUUCAGGUACCUAAGCUGGAAAACAGCCCUUACACAAAUGCACCCACUCCUCCUCCCCCUCUUCAGGUCCUGCUUCUGUGGGUAGUGAGGGGUUCCAAGGAUAGCAGAAGUCUUUUCCCUCUCUGCUCAGCCUGGGGUUGCUUCCAGACUCAUCAUCCCCUAAAUAAUAAAGCCUUGCUCUCAGACAGGGUUCUGCCCUUGGUGAACAAUGUAGGACACGAGAGUCCAGAUUCGAAAAGACACAGACAGGUGGGUUCUGGACAUAAUUUUCCCAAAGGCCUACCAUUCUGGCUGAGUCCUUUUAUUACUCUGUUCCCCAGUUUCUGAGCCCAGAAUGUGGCAGGAGCAACAAGCAGACACUCACCCGAGACUUGAUGGACCCCCAGGGAUGGUGUCAAAUCCCACCCCUCCCGCCCACUUUAUGGCUGUUUUGUUUCUCCCAUGUCCCUGUUCUGCCUCCAUCUCCUCUGAAAAGAGGUGAUGGAGGACAAGGACAGUUGCUCACCGAACUCCUAGGGUGGCAGUACUCCGGGGGGUUUCUGAGAGGAGGGACAUGACCCAGGUGUAGAGGUUGGCCUCCAGGCAGUAGACACAACUAAACUAAGCUACAGGAUCAGGGAGGAGGGCCUGGGCACUCCCAGGUGUCCAGUGACUAUGGCUGCCACUGUCCCCUGAAACUUGUGGCCUAAUCUGAGCCCUACCUCACUCUCCCCUAGAGCCAGAUCUCCUGGCCUAUUUCUGUAGAAGCUGGGGGCAGAGUUAGGACAGGGUGGAAACUCAAGAACCAGGCCCACAGUCUUCCCUUAGAGACUGCAGCCAAGCCUGCAGACCUGGGGUCAGAUGGUAGGUAGGGCCUGCUCUGCCUUCAGUCCCUACUUGCUGUGCAACCUGAGGCAGUUUACUUUUCCUCUCUGAGCCCCCACCUAACCUCUACCUCUUAAAUCUACAGGGGAUUCUGGGAGAGCAAGUGUAUAAAACACCUAUGACCCAACAGGAUCUCAACAAAGGGUGUUUCUUCUGGUCCAACUGGAAUGGUCUACAACAGUGAUGGUGAACCUUUUAGAGGUUUCAAUGAUCAAAAAAAAAAAAAAAAAAAUAGCCUACUGUAGCACACCUGCCAUAGGUUCGCCACCACUGGUCUAGAACUAGAAAGUCAAGUAGUGAGUUGUUAGACACUUGCAUUAUUCAAGUCCAACUUCCAUAAUCAUUUGAUAGGGAUUUUUAAAAGAGAAUUAAUAGCAGCCAGGUAUGGUGGCCCACACCUGUAAUCCCAGCUCUCUGGGAGGCUGAGGUGAGUUCAAAACCCAGCCAGUGCACCUUAGUGACAGCAAGACUCUCAAAAUUUAAAUGUAGCUCAGUGUGAAGACCCUGGGUUCAAUCCUCAGCACUCCCAUAAAGGGGUGGUGGUGGUUAAUAGGGCAGGGCUAGAGUGAGGUAAGAGAGAAAACUGGAGUGCAGAAUUUAAGGGAGUGCCUCCCUCACCCCACUUGUCCUCCUGGGACCAGCGCAGCAGGUCUCAAAAGGUGAGCCUACAACACCUGAACUGUGGGCCUUGGGCAGGAGGGCUGAGCACUGGGCUCUGCACUCACUCACUCUCUGAACACAGGGAAACAGGAGAAGGCAGACCAGGGGUCUCAGUGGGCCCAGAUGCUUCCUCAUCCCAUGAGAACCCAACAACCCCUCCCCAGGCCUGAAUCCUCCUUUCCCUUACCAUGCUGAUUCUAUCAGAACCCAGCAGUAAACCUGAAACUCCGCCUGCCCUGGCCUCCUGGGGCAGGUAGUGCUGCCUCCCAAGUGGCCCUCUGAGGGCAGAGAGUGGCAGCUUUAAUGACUUGGGUCUAUUUAAGCUGUGCCUGGAGUCCUGGGAGGGCCCCAUCUCAUGAACUUACAGACACACAAGUGCACAAUUACCCAGCUGGCACAGGCCUUGGACCCCAAACACUCAGCUUGUAAGCUUCCUGGGACUGGGAGCUCAGCUCACUACCUCCCCUACACAGCCUAGUCCAUGAAGCCUGGACUGGUCUCCCUCUAAGUUUCAGUGGUGCUAAGUCUCUACUGUGUAAUGGUCCUGUGCUCAGCACUGGGGUCCAGCUGUACAGCUCGAAGCUCAGUCAGGGGAGACCAGCAGUGUGCAUGCACCUGGAGAAAGGCAGUGCAGGAGUGACGAGCACCAGGAGAAAACUGAAACAGGGCAAAGAGUGUGUGUGGGACUGGUGCAAAUGAGGUAGUCAGAGUGGGUCUUCCUGAGGAGGUGCAAAUGGGGAAGUAGGGGUGUCAGAGAGGCAGCAGGAUCUGGAAUGCCAACCCAGGUUUUUCUGGCUCUUCAUCUGAGCCAGAGGUGCUGAUUCUAAGAAAUCUGCAAACUUUCCUAUGCAACACAGAUCACAAAGGUGGCACAAAAUGGCUCAGUUUUAUUUUUUUUUAAUUUUUAUUUUGGUACCGGGAAUCAAACUCGGGACCUUGCGCUUGCGAGGCAGGUGCCAGAACCACUGAGCUAAAUCCCUGGCAAGGUGGCACAAAAUGUAAAGGGCAAAUGGUAUAAGUGGUGGUGUGGCACCACUUCCCGGGGAGAACAUGGUGUGGGGCUCCCCCCCACACACCAUCUCUACCUGUCUGAUGGAGGCUGUAGGGUAGCGUGGGGGAUGGGCUCUCACGUGUCACCCCAGGAGUCCCCACAUUCUUCAGUUCCCCCGAACCCCUCCCUGGUCCUCUUGGUAACUCUGGGUGAUAGGUGCUGUGUCCUCAGCCAGCCAUGUAUGCAGCAGGGGUACAGGCUGCCCUUUGUGCGCUCAUGGGUGCCUUGGAAGAACAGGUGUGUGCUGGACUUCCUGGAACAGGAUGGGAGGUGCCACAGAGUGCUCUUGAUGAAUGAGGACACUAAGUCUUAGAGCAGGACAGCUGCUUAAGAUUCCCCAGCUGGGACCCAACCCAGUUUUGCUACUCAGGGCCCCAGCUUGCCAGGGAUAGAGUCCAGCAUCGGCUCUCCCCCAACCCACCUCCAUCACUUGUCAUGGAGCAGUGUGUGCAGAGUGCAGGAACACAAAGGAGAUGGCUCUGGGCCUUCCCAGCUCAGCUCCGAGGAGGCUCUUUGGAGGUUUCUCUGUCACAUCAGAGGCCAGGCUCUGGCUUGGGUCCCUCAAGGCAGGGUCAAGGCCUGAACCAUGUAUGUAAAUCCAGCCUCAUCCCACACAGGGUUGCAGAGUGGACCACAGCUGAAUGGGUGGACUGCAACUCCUCUGACUCGAGCUCCUGCCUGGCCUCAUUCUCCUUGCUUACCUUCUGAAUAUCUGCUAUUUAAUGCCAAGUGCACUUGGCUAGACUGUUCCUUCCACCAGGAAUGCCCUUCCCACUAUCCUGUGUCCUGGAAAAUUUCUAUUCUUCCCUCAAAACCAUGCUUUGGGGCCAGGGAUUUAGCUCAGUGGUUUCGCCGCCUGCUGCGCAAGCGCAAGGACACGAGUUCGAUCCCCGGUACCAAAAAAACCAAACCAAAACAAAAAAAAACCCAUGCUUUGAUGUCACCUCAGAAUCUUCCUCUUCUGGGCCCCUCCUUGAAUCAACUCCUAAUACACUGACCACAUUGUCCUGUAACCACUCACAUAUCUUCUUUCCCCCUUGGGCUAGUCCCGGGGCUACAGGUGUGCUCAUUGACCAAGAGUACAACCUGCAACAAGGCAAUUAAGCAAGAUGCUAUUCAGCGCCAGUUUCCAUACUUGCUCUGGUCUUGGGGACCCAGGACACAUAUUUUUCAUUCUGGAAGCUCAAAAACAACCCAUGUGCUGAUGCAGUGGCCAUUUGAGGGAUGGUUCUCUGAUGCUAGGCAGUUGUUCCCAGUCUAAAUAGCAGUGCUGUGCUUUCUUCAUAUAAUUUGUAUAUACUUCUUCCUUUUGGGUUGUUUUAAACCUGAAGCAAAGACAGCAUCUGAUCUUAGAGCAACCAAGCUCAUCUCUGGCAAAUACAAACCCCUUUACAACUGUCCCCACAACGCAGCCCAUUUCUUCAGCAUCAAUUGCAAUGGGUGUUGGCAUUUUUAUAUACGUUUAAUUGUAUGGCUUAGUAUCAGAGCUGUGUGACUAGAACCACAAAGGUGCUUUCAUUUGCAUUUCCAAAGGUGUCUUAGUGCAUACGUGUAGGAAGCCUCGAACUUUGGCCAGCAAUGUGCCCUCUUCCCCAGCUGGAACCAGCUCUCUGUACCUGUUUGGGGUUCUCUGCCUGCCUGGGGAGCAGCCCUGGGCACCUGCCUUCCUGGUGCCUCAACCAGGCCUCCACUCCUCAGCCUCUCCACCAGGCCAUAGCAGGCUGAGCAGCAGGGGUAGCAGGGGACAGAUACUCUCUGUCUAUGGUUCCUUCCAUCUCCAGGGACUCUAAGGACAGGUGCUUGUUUCCUAGCGGGGGUGCAGGCUCCUUGCCAGCCUUGUCUCCCAUGAAGUGUCAGGAUGACCACAAGAGGGGAGGCUCAGCACUCAGAACUGUUGCCAGGAACACCCUGAAAACUUCCAGCACAGGUUCCUUGAAUAAUCACUACGAAUGUUUGUUGAGGUGCACAUAGCAGUAUCAGGUAAAUGCUCUCAAGGUGAUAAUAACAGCACUCAAUGGCACCAUUAAGGGUCUACUUUUAUGCCAUGCACUACGCAUGCCUUUGACCUAAAUCAGCUCAUCUGAUCUGCACUACUGUAAGAAGUUGGUACUUAACAUUAUAUUGAUAAGAACCUAGAAGUCAGAGAGGUCAAGCUACUUGUCCAAGGUCACACACAAGGGCUGAAUGAAGACUCCUAGGGCCCAGGCUUCCAGCUGUGGGGGUGCACAUGGAUCCCCAGAGCCCCAGAAAGGACACUUAGAGGUGCAAGGCUUGCUGGGAGAUAACUGAGAGGUCAGUUGGGCAGGAAGGUCAUCAUAGGCCUCUCCAGGCCGCAAAUUCUCCCCAUGGGAUAGAUCCUCAGCCUCCAACCCAGCAGCUCUAUACCCACAGCCAGCUAGCUGUAAGCCUCCUGCUCUCCUCACCAGGAGCCUAGUGCCUAUUAGAAGCCCCUACAAUUUCUUCUAUGGAUGAAGCACGCGGAUCUCACAACUGUGCAGUUCCUGUCAGGUUCCCAGGGUCAAAGGGUCCCACAGGUCACAUGGCUGGCAGGAGUCAAGACCAGAGACACUUUCCAUGGUGGUUCAGUACUCCCGAUCAGCAGGCUGUCGGCAAAGUCCAGAUCCCAGGCCUCUGCCUUGAAAUUACUUCUGCAUGGGAGCUGACCAGGUCAUGCGGCAUGUUUGUGUCAAGCUAAGUGACUGUCAGGCAAAAAGGUAACUCCUGGCCACCUGGCUGUCUGCCUCCCUGGACCCACUCCCAGCAACCUCUUCUCUGUCCCCUUGGGGCACUAGGGCUGAACUCAUGGCCUCAGGCAGCAAAUCUUAGAGCUGCCAGAUUGUGCUUUUCAGGAGAGGCCUCUGUGAUCCAGACAGGACCAAGCACUUUCCCUAGGAGGAACAGCAGUUCAUAGACAUAGGAAGGCUUUGUGCUUCUGGAUACCAAGUGGCAGAAACAGGCAUGGGAAGGGAACAGGCCUGGUGGGGGGGGGGCCCUCCCAGGCUCUACCUUAGAUGGGCUCUGGACAUGGCAUAAGGGAGAAGGGUGCCCAAAGGCCAGCUGUGCCUGAAAAUGGGCUCUGAGAGAGUAAGCAGUGUCAUGGGAGGAGCAGGCAUGACAGCCAAAUUUCAUGGAUAGUUGGGACCAAUGGAAUUAAUGUGGGAAGCUGGAUAGCAACCAGCCCAGGCCUGUUUUCUAAGGAAUGUUCAUUUGAGGUGGGACCAGAGAGAGAACUAAGAUCCCUGGAAGAGGUUUGGGUAUCAGAGUUAGCCCCCAGUAGUAUGCCCUCUGUCCCAGGCCAGGUGGCCCUCAAUGCAGCCAGACACACACAGGCCGACAGUAAAGUUCCCCUGGCAGAUGCUUAGGAUCUAACAGCAGAUAUGGACAGCAGAUACCUGGGGUCUGACAGGUACGCUGGUACUCCCCAGUCCCAGGACCCACAGGGAGCAGAGUUCCCAACCUCCAACCAGAACUCUGUCUCCAUGUGCCUCUUCUGUAUUUAUAAACUUAUGCAAGAUCUGAUAAACUAAUCCUCAGCUGCCCUGGGCUUAAUGAUAAUACCCAACAUGGGUCCAGGGCUACUCUCUCACCCCUACCCGCACCCCACUGCAAGGGACCCAGAGCACAGCAAGGAGGAAAGAGGCAAACAAUGGAAGUCAGAGUCAGUCACAGGGUCCAACCCAGAGGCACUACAGCCAGGCAGUGCCUUCACCUGCAGACAAAGGUUCCAAGUGCAGCCCCACCCCAAAUCCCAUUCACAUGACUGGGGGCCUAGCCAAGCAGGUGGCAGACAGGUGGGGCUCAGGGUCCUUGACUGGCUCCCUGGUGCCAGUUUCCAGUCUCAUGACACAUGGCUUCUGACCCCUCUGUAACUCACUCCCAGGCCUCCAGCAGAGGCCCAUGGGGAGCAGCCUUCCCCAAUCCCUCACCCCUACUCUUAGAAGCCAAAUAGUCAAGAGGUCAAGAAUCAAAAGCAUAGGCUCUGGUGUCCACAACCUGGAUUCUGACUCCCAGCUGUGUGACUCUGGCCAAGUCACUUAUUCUCUCUAUUCCUCAAGGCCCUGAUCUACAAGAUGAAGAUCAUAAGUCUACCCAAAUGAUGUGGGAGGAUUUAUGAGAUCAUCAAUACAGUGCCUGACAAAGAUGCUAAAGAUCCCACAUGCGCAAGGAUGAAAUAAUCCCUCACAUCAUUAAGAAAGUUUAACUCUGAGUGUUGAGUUUAAGAAACUUAUUUUUGUCACCUGCAUU